rnacentral:rRNA from 1 species
CGAGUAACCUGCCCUUAACUCUGGGAUAAGCCUGGGAAACUGGGUCUAAUACCGGAUAUGACUCCUCAUCGCAUGGUGGGGGGUGGAAAGCUUUUUUGUGGUUUUGGAUGGACUCGCGGCCUAUCAGCUUGUUGGUGAGGUAAUGGCUCACCAAGGCGACGACGGGUAGCCGGCCUGAGAGGGUGGCCCGGCCACACUGGGACUGAGACACGGCCCAGACCUCCGUACGGGAGGCAG